rnacentral:lncRNA from 1 species
GUGGAGUCUGGAAGGCAGUCGACUGUCGUAGUAACUUGGAUGAAGUCUGGUUACUGUAGAAAUCUUCAUUGUCGGAGAAGCUCGAAUUUUGACGAAGUCCGAAAGAAGUUCGGAGCAUAGUUGAUCACUGUAGAAGGUCGGCUGAUAGUGAGGUCUAGAGAGCCUUUGAAGCGGUUCGGUAGAUGGAUGGAGAAGCUCAUUGUUAGAGAAGUUCGGAAGCUCAGA